rnacentral:rRNA from 1 species
AGGGUUCGAUUCUGGCUCAGGAUGAACGCUGGCGGCGUGCUUAACACAUGCAAGUCGAGCGAAGCACUUGAGGUUGAUUUCUUCGGAAUGAAAUCUCAUUUGACUGAGCGGCGGACGGGUGAGUAACGCGUGGGUGACCUGCCCCAUACCGGGGGAUAACAGCUGGAAACGGCUGCUAAUACCGCAUAAGCGCACGGAGCUGCAUGGCUCAGUGUGAAAAACUCCGGUGGUAUGGGAUGGGCCCGCGUCUGAUUAGGCAGUUGGCGGGGUAACGGCCCACCAAACCGACGAUCAGUAGCCGACCUGAGAGGGCGACCGGCCACAUUGGGACUGAGACACGGCCCAA